rnacentral:rRNA from 1 species
GGCGAUCCAGUUUGCAUUGGAUUGAGACAACGUACAAACCUUAUCGAUAAACAAUUGGAGGGCAAGUCUGGUGCCAGCAGCCGCGGUAAUUCCAGCUCCAAUAGCGUAUAUUAACGUUGUUGCAGUUAAAAAGCUCGUAGUUGAAAUGAAGGGUAGUUGUGUAAUGAAUACAUUCGUGUAUUUUGUUAUUCUACUACCCUCCUUCUAAAUUCGAUAUAUGAGUAUUAAUUUACUUGUAUAUGGUUUUAGACGUUUACUGUGAGAAAAUUAGAGUGUUCAAAGCAGGCAUUUGCUUGAAUAUAUUAGCAUGGAAUAAUCAUGUAUGAUUUUCAUGAUGUAUUUGAUUGGUUUGGUUCAUGAGAAUAAGAUUAAAAGGGACAGUUGGGGGUAUUCAUAUUCAAUAGUCAGAGGUGAAAUUCUCGGAUUUAUGGAAGAUGAACAGGGCCAGAAAGCAAAA